CACAGAGGUCCCAAGCGUUGUUCGGAUUCAUUGGGCGUAAAGGGUGCGUAGGUGGCGCCGUAAGUCGGGUGUGAAAUUUCGGAGCUUAACUCCGAAACUGCAUUCGAUACUGCGGUGCUUGAGGACUGGAGAGGAGACUGGAAUUCAUGGUGUAGCAGUGAAAUGCGUAGAGAUCAUGAGGAAGACCAGUGGCGAAGGCGGGUCUCUGGACAGUUCCUGACACUGAGGCACGAAGGCCAGGGGAGCAAACGGG
rnacentral:rRNA from 1 species